GACGUAGGAGGCGAGCGUUGUCCGGAUUCAUUGGGCGUAAAGAGCACGCAGGCGGUUUGGCAAGUCGAUGUGAAAACCCGAAGCUCAACUUCGGGCCUGCAUCCGAAACUGCCCGACUAGAGGUAGGUAGGGGAGAACGGAAUUCCUGGUGUAGCGGUGAAAUGCGCAGAUAUCAGGAGGAACACCGGUGGCGAAGGCGGUU
rnacentral:rRNA from 1 species